rnacentral:lncRNA from 1 species
ACCAGGUGAUGUCGGUGACGAUUUAGAUCUGAUGGGAGUGCUGAAAGGAGAAGGAGGAGGAGAACCACUUUCAGGAGCCUCUGCAUACCUAGUCCGCACAUCUAGAAGAGCUUCUUCCAUGCGAACCAAGCCAGCACUACCUGUAAGGUGGGAGAUCCGAUCCCGUAAUAGCUUUUGGUCCUCAAGCACCUGUAACAAAUGUCACCCUCAGUGUUGUAAGUAACAUAAAAAACGUCCGAAAAGUUAGAAUCAAAACGUACAAAUUAAACCGCGAAGUCGGUGUAAAAUGGAGGUAGAUGUCACAUGCUCCGCAGACUAAAAACAUUUGUGAUAAGAGGAUGUGUGUCUAAGAAGCACGCGUUAACAUAUACAUAGUCAGGUCAAAAUGGCACAUCUUUAUAUGUUAACUAUUACCAUCCCUGUUAUCAUACAAAACAAUCAGGAAAAGCAUAGCUCAACCAGAGAAUAUUAGAAGACCUAAGUGCAUACCUGGGUGCGGAUUGCCUGUGCAUCGUGACUUAGAUCGGAGGCACUCCCUCCUUGUGGAAUUUUACACUUAUGAAGCAUAGAAACUUCUAGCUG